CAGGUUGGGUUGGAUAUGGAGUUGAGGAAUGUCUAUCUAAGUUGUAGUGCUUCUCACCGGAUGAUAUAAAGACUUCAGAGGUUUUCUGAUGCUUUCCAACUUGACUAAGAUGGACUUGAUUCAGCUAUGUGGAAUGCCAGAUCAGUUUUGAAUUGAACUAAUCCAGUCGCACCAUGUCAUUAGGCUCAUUUUCCACUAUAACAGAUACCAUGUUAAGUAAUAAUUGAUCCUAAAAUUUUAAGCUAAUAUAAAAUGUGUUGAGAAUGUGUGUCAGUGUUAACCCUGCAAUGGUGGUUUAUUUCUUCAUCCACACAUGCUUUUUAAAGUUA
rnacentral:lncRNA from 1 species